AGAGUUUGAUCCUGGCUCAGGAUGAACGCUGGCGGUAUGCUUAACACAUGCAAGUCGAACGGGAUGCUUAGGCAUCUAGUGGCGGACGGGUGAGUAACGCGUGAGAAUCUGGCUCCAGGUCGGGGAUAACAGUUGGAAACGACUGCUAAUACCGGAUGUGCCGAGAGGUGAAAGAUUUAUCGCCUGGAGAUGAGCUCGCGUCUGAUUAGCUAGUUGGCGGUGUAAGGGACCACCAAGGCGUCGAUCAGUAGCUGGUCUGAGAGGAUGAUCAGCCACACUGGGACUGAGACACGGCCCAGACUCCUACGGGAGGCAGCAGUGGGGAAUUUUCCGCAAUGGGCGAAAGCCUGACGGAGCAAUACCGCGUGAGGGAGGAAGGCUCUUGGGUCGUAAACCUCUUUUCUCAAGGAAGAAGAAAGUGACGGUACUUGAGGAAUAAGCAUCGGCUAACUCCGUGCCAGCAGCCGCGGUAAUACGGAGGAUGCAAGCGUUAUCCGGAAUGAUUGGGCGUAAAGGGUCUGCAGGUGGAACUGAAAGUCUGCUGUUAAAGAGUUUGGCUUAACCAAAUAAAAGCGGUGGAAACUACAGAACUAGAGUGCGGUAGGGGCAAAAGGAAUUCCUGGUGUAGCGGUGAAAUGCGUAGAUAUCAGGAAGAACACCGGUGGCGAAAGCGUUUUGCUAGACCGUAACUGACACUGAGGGACGAAAGCUAGGGGAGCGAAUGGGAUUAGAUACCCCAGUAGUCCUAGCCGUAAACGAUGGAUACUAGGCGUGGCUUGUAUCGACCCGAGCCGUGCCGGAGCUAACGCGUUAAGUAUCCCGCCUGGGGAGUACGCACGCAAGUGUGAAACUCAAAGGAAUUGACGGGGGCCCGCACAAGCGGUGGAGUAUGUGGUUUAAUUCGAUGCAACGCGAAGAACCUUACCAAGACUUGACAUCCUGCGAAUCCUGGUGAAAGCUGGGAGUGCCUUAGGGAGCGCAGAGACAGGUGGUGCAUGGCUGUCGUCAGCUCGUGUCGUGAGAUGUUGGGUUAAGUCCCGCAACGAGCGCAACCCUCGUUUUUAGUUGCCAGCAUUAAGUUGGGCACUCUAGAGAGACUGCCGGUGACAAACCGGAGGAAGGUGGGGAUGACGUCAAGUCAGCAUGCCCCUUACGUCUUGGGCUACACACGUACUACAAUGCUACGGACAGAGGGCAGCGAGCCAGGGAUGGCAAGCGAAUCCAGAAACCGUAGCUCAGUUCAGAUCGAAGGCUGCAACUCGCCUUCGUGAAGGAGGAAUCGCUAGUAAUUGCAGGUCAGCAUACUGCAGUGAAUUCGUUCCCGGGCCUUGUACACACCGCCCGUCACACCAUGGAAGUUGGUCACGCCCGAAGUCAUUACCCCAACCGAAAGGAGGGGGAUGCCUAAGGAAGGACUUAUC
rnacentral:rRNA from 1 species